rnacentral:lncRNA from 1 species
CAUAAUGCACAAAGAUGGAUUCUCAAAGUUGAGGAAACAAGUUAGUUUUUCUAACAUGAGAGGGAGACAUGAUAAACAGUUGAGAAAACGUUAUGUAGAAUGAAUUAUCAUUUGUAUAUCUAGAUUCUCGAAUAGGAUAAUAUGAACUUGAAGUUCAUAAAAAAGAUAAUCCAUCUGCAAUAUAUUACAAAGUAUGCUAGACGCUUUUUGCUGGCCCAAAUAAAGUAACUAUGUUCUCAUUGCAAAUGCUCAUAUUAAGUCCUAGAAGGACAAAAUCUAUGAUACGCUUAAAGCGU